UGUUUAGGAUUUGGUUUAGAAUUUAAGAUUAGGAUUAAGAUUUGGUUAGGGUUUGAUUUAAAAUUAGGAUUUGAUUUAGGAUUAAGGAUUUGAUAAGAAUUUGAUUUAAGAUUAGGAUUUGAUUUAGGGUUUAGAAUUAGGAUUAAAAUUUGGUUAAGAUUUGAUUUAGGAUUAGGAUUUAUUUAAGAUUUGAUUAAGAUUUGAUUUAAGAUUUGGAUUUGGUUUAGGGUUUAGGAUUUGAUUAGGGUUUGAUUUAAGAUUUGAUUAGGAUUUGAUUUAGGAUUAGGGUUUGGUUUAGGGUUUAGGAUUUCAUCAAGGUUUGAUUGAGGAUUAAGAUUUGGUUAAGAUUUGAUUUAGGAUUUGGUUUAGGGUUUAGGAUUUGAUCAAGGUUUGAUUUAGGAUUAGGAUUAGGAUUUGAUUAAGAUUUGGUUUAGGAUUUAGGAUUUGCUUAGGAUUUGAUUUAAGAUUUAGGAUUUGGUUUAAGAUUGAUUAGAGUUUGAUUUAAGGUUAGAAUUUGGUUAGGAUUUGAUUUGAGAUUAGCAUUUGGUUAAGAUUUGGUUAGGAUUUGAUUUAGGAUAAGGGUUUAAUUUAGCAUUUAGGAUUUGGUUAAGGUUUGAUUUAAGAUUAGGAUUUAGUUUAAGGUUUAGGAUUUUGUUAGGAUUUGAUUUAGGAUUUAGGAUUUAAUUUAGGAUUUAAGGUUUGAUUAGGGUUUGAUCAGGAUUUUAUCUAAGAUUUAGGAUUUUAUUUGAGUUUGUUUAGAAUUUAAGAUUUAGUUAGUUUUUGGCCUAAAGUUUGAAUGAAGUCCAAUAAGAUUUUAAUUAGGAUUAAAUUAAGAUUGAAUUGAGAUUUAUUUGAGAUAUGUUUGUAAUUAUUCUAAUAUUUCUUUAAGAUUUCUUA
rnacentral:lncRNA from 1 species